rnacentral:rRNA from 1 species
GAAAGAAUCCAGAACGACUCUUGGCAAUAGAUAUCUUGGCUCUCGCAUCGGUGAAGAACGUAGCGAAAUGCGAGACUUGGUGUGAAUUGUAGAAUCUCGUGAACCAUCAAGUUUUUGAACGUAAGUUACGCCCGAAGCCAUUAGGCCGAGGGCACGCCUGCCUG